UACGUAGGGGGCAAGCGUUGUCCGGAUUUAUUGGGCGUAAAGAGCGUGUAGGCGGUCAGGUAGGUCGGUUGUGAAAACUGGAGGCUCAACCUUCAGAGGUCGACCGAAACCCCCUGGCUAGAGUUCGGGAGAGGGAUGCGGAAUUCCAGGUGUAGCGGUGAAAUGCGUAGAUAUCUGGAGGAACACCGGUGGCGAAGGCGGCAUCCUGGACCGACACUGACGCUGAGGAG
rnacentral:rRNA from 1 species